rnacentral:rRNA from 1 species
AUCAUGACUGGGGCGAAGUCGUAACAAGGUAGCCGUAGGGGAACCUGCGGCUGGAUCACCUCCUUAACGGA